rnacentral:rRNA from 1 species
UACGUAGGGGGCAAGCGUUGUCCGGAUUUAUUGGGCGUAAAGCGCGUGUAGGCGGCCGUGCAGGUCCGUUGUGAAAACUCGAGGCUUAACCUCGAGACGUCGGUGGAAACCGCACGGCUAGAGUCCGGAAGAGGAGAGUGGAAUUCCUGGUGUAGCGGUGAAAUGCGCAGAUAUCGGGAGGAACACCAAUGGCGAAAGCAGGUACCUGGACUAUUGCUGACACUAAAACUGCGAAAAGCUAGGGGAGCAAACAGG